GGAGACAGCUUAGUGGUAGAGCGCAUGCUUAGCAUGCACAAGGUCCUGGGUUCAAGCCCCAGUACCACCA
rnacentral:tRNA from 1 species